AAUAAUCUCAUUUUUCGUUUUUCCAUGUCUAACAUUUGAACAUUCGUUUUAUUUGAAAAAUUUGUAAAAAACUUAAAAAUAUUAGUCACGUAUAAAGUACUAUUCAUAUUUUAUUAUCUAGUAACAAUAAAAAUAUUAAUCACAAAAUUUUUUUAAAUAAGUCGAAUGAUCAAACAUUGAACACGGAAAAAC
rfam:Oryza brachyantha chromosome 1, whole genome shotgun sequence.